rnacentral:rRNA from 1 species
UACGAAGGGGACUAGCGUUGUUCGGAAUCACUGGGCGUAAAGCGCACGUAGGCGGAUUCGUAAGUCAGGGGUGAAAUCCCGGGGCUCAACCUCGGAACUGCCUUUGAUACUGCAAAUCUCGAGUCCGGAAGAGGUGAGUGGAAUUCCUAGUGUAGAGGUGAAAUUCGUAGAUAUUAGGAAGAACACCAGUGGCGAAGGCGGCUCACUGGUCCGGUACUGACGCUGAGGUGCGAAAGCGUGGGGAGCAAACAGG